rnacentral:lncRNA from 1 species
CUGGGUUUUGCAAUAGCUGGUUCAAUUGAGAAGCAUCUGGAGUGGCACCAAGAGGCGAAUCCGCUCCAAGCAUUCCAAGACCACCAAGACCACCAAGGCCGCCAAGACCACCAAGACCACCUAGACCAGGGCUUCUCGCAUCCCCACCAGAAUUUGUCCUUCCAGGGGCAGUGGUCUGGCCUAUCAAGUAGCCCCCACAAUAUGUUCAACAAUGUUUAGUACAUUGCGAGUAAAAGUUUAACUAGAAAGAGCAGCCAAAGAUUAUUCCUACACAAACUACUCAACAACAAAUUGCGAGAACUACAUGAACUCACCAAUUUAGUAUAAACAAUAUUGUUCCUGAACCAGUGUGGUAACAGAAACAUCCAGUUUCUUAUAUAUGUAAAAGCCACUUUUACUAUUAUAAUUUGCAUGCUUCAAGAGACGAGUAAAAUUC